ACGGGAGGCAGCAGUGGGGGAUAUUGCACAAUGGGGGAAACCCUGAUGCAGCGACGCCGCGUGAGUGAAGACGUAUUUCGGUAUGUAAAGCUCUAUCAUCAGGAAAGAUAAUGACGGUACCUAACUAAGAAGCACCGGCUAACUACGUGCCAGCAGCCGCGGUAAUACGUAUGGUGCAAGCGUUAUCCGGAAUUACUGGGUGUAAAGGGAGUGUAGGUGGGACUGUAAGUCAGAUGUGAAAUAUGCCGGCUCAACUGGGAGACUGCAUUUGAAACUGAGGUUCUUGAGUGAAGUAGAGGUAAGCGGAAUUCCGAGUGUAGCGGUGAAAUGCGUAGAUAUUAGGAGGAACAUCAGUGGCGAAGGCGGCUUACUGGGCUUUAACUGACGCUGAGGCUCGAAAGCGUGGGGAGCAAACAGGAUUAGAUACCCUGGUA
rnacentral:rRNA from 1 species